rnacentral:rRNA from 1 species
UCAGAUUGAACGCUGGCGGCAUGCCUUACACAUGCAAGUCGAACGGCAGCACGGGUGCUUGCACCUGGUGGCGAGUGGCGAACGGGUGAGUAAUACAUCGGAACGUGUCCUGUAGUGGGGGAUAGCCCGGCGAAAGCCGGAUUAAUACCGCAUACGAUCUACGGAUGAAAGCGGGGGAUCUUCGGACCUCGCGCUAUAGGGGCGGCCGAUGGCGGAUUAGCUAGUUGGUGAGGUAAAGGCUCACCAAGGCGACGAUCCGUAGCUGGUCUGAGAGGACGACCAGCCACACUGGGACUGAGACACGGCCCAGACUCCUACGGGAGGCAGCAGUGGGGAAUUUUGGACAAUGGGCGAAAGCCUGAUCCAGCAAUGCCGCGUGUGUGAAGAAGGCCUUCGGGUUGUAAAGCACUUUUGUCCGGAAAGAAAUCCCUGGUCCUAAUAUGGCCGGGGGAUGACGGUACCGGAAGAAUAAGCACCGGCUAACUACGUGCCAGCAGCCGCGGUAAUACGUAGGGUGCAAGCGUUAAUCGGAAUUACUGGGCGUAAAGCGUGCGCAGGCGGUGAUGUAAGACCGAUGUGAAAUCCCCGGGCUCAACCUGGGAACUGCAUUGGUGACUGCAUCGCUUGAGUAUGGCAGAGGGGGGUAGAAUUCCACGUGUAGCAGUGAAAUGCGUAGAGAUGUGGAGGAAUACCGAUGGCGAAGGCAGCCCCCUGGGUCAAUACUGACGCUCAUGCACGAAAGCGUGGGGAGCA